rnacentral:rRNA from 1 species
UACAGAGGGGGCAAGCGUUGUUCGGAUUCACUGGGCGUAAAGGGUGCGUAGGUGGUCGGGUCAGUCUGAGGUGAAAUCUCCGAGCUUAACUCGGAAACUGCCUUGGAUACUAUCCGGCUGGAGGGUUGGAGGGGGGACUGGAAUUCUCGGUGUAGCAGUGAAAUGCGUAGAUAUCGAGAGGAACACCAGUGGCGAAGGCGAGUCCCUGGACAACUCCUGACACUGAGGCACGAAAGCUAGGGGAGCAAACAGG